GCGUCGCUAUGGGUACAGUUGCCUAGCAACCGCUAAAACCUACUACCUCCCCUUCCUUCUCACUGCGUUGUAAGUUAAUUGGCCUGUGUUGGUUGGUUGGUUGGUUGGUUGGUUGCUGUGGCGAUAUUGCCUGUGAUGGUUGCCAUUAGCAGUUUGGUUUUUUUAUUUCUUUUUUGGGGUUUUUUUGGGCCGUUGCCUUGAUUCACCAUGCUCAACUGCAUGGCGGGUUACUGUGGCGACCAUGAACUGUGUUUGGUGUGCUGAAAGUGUUCAAUCAAGAAAAACCACUUGGGAUGUCCCAGCCUUUUUUGGUUGUUUGACCAACCGUAUAGCACAGGAGCAACACUUCACAUAAAGCAGUAUCACGUGUAUGCGCUUUACAAAAACAAACAGCAGCAGCAGCAGCAGCAGUAAUAUCAGCAACAAACGCAUCGACUGAAUCAGCAUCCGCAAUAUGAGAAGUGCUCCCGAGUUCCUAUCAUUCCACAGCUGGAUUCAUUUAUAUAUGUACAUAUCUAUUGUCGGCAACAAGAUAUACAUGUUAAGAAAAAGCAUAUCACUGAUGUUAUUCUACUGAACAGGGUUCUACUGUAUAGUGUGAUUUGUGGUCUGCGGCGUUAACAGAAGGCCAGUCUACACAGUCGGAGGCAAAAGAAAAUACUACUCUGUAUGAUUACCAUUGGUAAUAUUGUUAUGUAGAGUUAGUUUUAUUAUUUAUAUGUAAAUUUAAAAACAAUGGGGGUACUUAAGCUGGAAGAGAAAUGGAUUUCCUCUCACUGUAAAUACUUUGGUUUAAAAAAAAAAAAGAAAAAAGGAGGACUCUAAAACUUCACCAGUUAACAUUCUCUGCUGCCACAACUUUUAAAAAUUAACAAAGCGGAAGGAAGGGCUGGGAAUUUUUCUAUCUUGAUUUUUUACGUUUUAAUUUAUUUGGUAAUCAAUUUGACGGCGGGGGACAUGUGACAAUUUCUUUUUUAAUUUAAGAAGAAGAAGAAGAAGAAAAAAAACAGGAUUCCUGUGGUCUUCAUGAUGAUGAACACUACUGCUAUUAUAGAGUUUUUAAUUACAUAAAUGUACCUAUGGAAGUGGAAAAAAAACGUUUCUUUAUUUAUUCUCUACAAUCGCUGUUUUAAAACAUAUGUCUUUAAAAGAAAAUAAAGUACAAUUUAGAAGAAA
ensembl:lncRNA